AUUGAACGCUGGCGGCGUGCCUAACACAUGCAAGUCGAGCGGUAACAGGUGUAGCAAUACAUGCUGACGAGCGGCGAACGGGUGAGUAAUGCUUCGGAAUCUACCCAAUGGUGGGGAAUAACCGAGCCGAAAGGUUGGACUAAUACCGCAUACGUCCCACGGGAGAAAGCAGGGAUCGCAAGACCUUGCGCCAAUGGAUGAGCCGAAGUCGGAUUAGCUAGUUGGAGGG
rnacentral:rRNA from 1 species